UUUAAGUACAACCGUGAGUUUUUUUUCCAAAUUUAAUUGUUUGUCUUAUUUAAUUUUUUUUUGUAAAAAAUUAAAAAACAUAAGUCACGCAUAAAGUACUAUUCAUAUUUUAUCAUCUAAUAACAAUAAAAAUACUAAUCAUAAAAAAAUUUUAAAUAAGACGGACGAUUAAAGUUGGACACGGAAACU
rnacentral:pre_miRNA from 1 species